AGCGAACGCUGGCGGCAGGCCUAACACAUGCAAGUCGAACGAACCUUUCGGGGUUAGUGGCGGACGGGUGAGUAACACGUGGGAACGUGCCUUUAGGUUCGGAAUAACUCAGGGAAACUUGUGCUAAUACCGAAUGUGCCCUUCGGGGGAAAGAUUAAUCGCCUUUAGAGCGGCCCGCGUCUGAUUAGCUAGUUGGUUGAGGUAAUGGCUCACCAAGGCGACGAUCAGUAGCUGGUCUGAGAGGAUGAUCAGCCACAUUGGGACUGAGACACGGCCGAGACUGCGACGGGGGGCAGUGGGGGGGAGGAGUGGACCAGGGGCGGAAGGCGGAUGGAGAAAUACCGGGUGGGGGAAGAAGGCAUUCGGGUGGGAGAGAACGUUAGUGGGGAAAGAAGAGAAGCAGGUUAAUACCCACCUGUUCCGACGGUACCCAAAGAAUAAGCACCGGCAAACUUCGUG
rnacentral:rRNA from 1 species